rnacentral:tRNA from 1 species
GGCGGCGUAGCCAAGAGGUUAAGGCGGGGGUCUGCAAAACCCCUAUCAGCGGUUCGAGUCCGCUCGCCGCCU